AAGUUUUAUUUCUGCAAAUUUGUUGGUAAGUUUAAGUAAACAAGGACAUCAAAAGCACUAUUUUGUGUCAGAGUAGGGUUACUUUUACAUACGUUCUAAAUUGGAGGGAGUAAUUGGUGGUCUGACUCCUUAAGGUGGUACAUAACACUACUGGGAGAUAACUCAGUAAAAAUCAGCUGAACGUUUUAGUCAUCUACUAUUGUUAAAGAAAUAUUAAGCUUGGCAAUGAUCAAAGUUAUUGUUUGUCAAACUAAUUUUUUUCAAAUAAAGGGUAUGGUUCAAGUCUAAUUUUUUAUCAAAGAGUCAAUGUUAAUACUUUGUCAAAAGUUUAUGAAAAUUAAACCAGCCAAAUUAAUUUUAGUCAAGGUGUCUGGUACCCCCUCAAUAUGAUCUUUUACAUAACCAUUUUCUUGGAUUUGAAAGUGAAAGUGAAGAAACAAAAAAAAUAUUUAAAAUAAAUUUUACAAAUAAAAAUCAGUUGGUGUUCCAUGCUUGACAACGAAAGAAAAAGAUAUAUAUUGUUUUUACAUUUUAUAUGGUGAAAUGUGUAAAUAUGAUGAAAUGCCUUCUAAAUAUCCCAUUUUAUUUUUGCAAUGAUUUCCAAAUGCAUAAUGUAGGCAUAUCAUAUUAAUUGCUAAGUGUGUGAUUUGAUCGCUUUAUAAAAUUAUAUUUAUAUGGACUCAUCAUGUCCUUAUGAAAUGGAAGACCUUUACACAAUUUGAUUAUCACAGAUUUUUACAUCUAAAAAAUUGUAUAGUUAGCAUCAUAGUUUUACCAAAUAUCUAUCAAUUCAGUGAAUAUUUUAAAUAUAGUUCUAACUGGUAAAUUUAUUUUAAGGCAUUUUGAAAGAGGUAGGUAUUCAUGAUAACUUCAAAUAGAAAAAAUAGAUUAGUACCUUAAUGGUUGCAUGGGUUUUUGUGUCCCAUCUACAAUAGUAGAGGGACAUUAUGUUUUCUGGUCUGUGUGUCUGUUCAUUCAUUCAUCUGUCUGUCCCACGUCAGGUUAAAGUUUUUAGUCUAGGACUCUAGGUAGUUUUUGAUGAAGUUGGGAGUCCAACAAUCAACUUCAAACUAAGAACACAGGUUCUAAUUUUAAUGCCAAAUUAGAGUUUUGACCCCAAUUUCAUGGUUCACAGAACAUAGAAAAUGAUAGUGCAAGUGUUGGGCAUCCGUGUUCAUGCAUCUUUUCAAAAUCUGAGUACUUUAAUUGGUUGUAUACAGCUUUUUUUUAGCUGUUGGUUUCUAUCCUUUGCCUAGGGAGAUGUUUAAUUGUGGUCAGUAUGUAGGUUGAUGAUAAAACAACCCAACGACAACAAAAACUACAGAUGUACACUUAAACAUUUUUCUUAAUUUUUGUAAAAAAAUUUAAGUUCUAAAUUAUUAUUUGAGUUUUCGAGUUGUAAAAUGCCUUCUGCUUCAUUUACUUAUUUUGGAGGAGUGGCCUAAAGGCUAACUGGUAGAUUUUUUUUUAGUCCAUGUAAAUGUUGUACAAACUUAAUAUAAGUUAUGUCUGUAACACUAAUGUCUUCUGAAGUAGUUUAUAUGGUAGAUUUGUAAUACUUAUUAUUUUUUUGAAUUCAAGGGUCCAAAAUAGGGACUAUUAUUUUUUUUUUAAUUCAAGG
rnacentral:lncRNA from 1 species